AGGGAUAUUGGUCAAUGGGGGAAACCCUGAACCAGCAACGCCGCGUGAGGGAAGACGGUUUUCGGAUUGUAAACCUCUGUCCUCUGUGAAGAUGAUGACGGUAGCAGAGGAGGAAGCUCCGGCUAACUACGUGCCAGCAGCCGCGGUAAUACGUAGGGAGCGAGCGUUGUCCGGAUUUACUGGGUGUAAAGGGAGCGUAGGCGGUUUAGCAAGUCAGAAGUGAAAGCCCGGGGCUCAACUCCGGGACUGCUUUUGAAACUGUUGAACUAGAUUGCAGGAGAGGUAAGUGGAAUUCCUAGUGUAGCGGUGAAAUGCGUAGAUAUUAGGAGGAACACCAGUGGCGAAGGCGGCUUACUGGACUGUAAAUGACGCUGAGGCUCGAAAGCGUGGGGAGCAAACAGG
rnacentral:rRNA from 1 species